GAGGGCCAAGCCCCUCCACUGGAGCCACUGGAUUCUGAGGGAUGCCUGCUAGGAGCCCUGGUCACCAUGAAUCUCUGUCCCUGCAGCGGGGCCAUUGCGGGCAAUCCCCUGGGUGUGCACCAACAGCUGCUCUCAGCAGAACUCAACUUUGG